GAGACUGCCGGUGUUAAAGCCGGAGGAAGGUGGGGAUGACGUCAAGUCCUCAUGGCCCUUUAUGCCCAGGGCUACACACGUGCUACAAUGGGCGGUACAAAGAGAAGCAACCUCGGCGAGGGUGAGCAAAUCUCAAAAAGCCGUUCUCAGUUCGGAUUGAAGUCUGCAACUCGACUUCAUGAAGUCGGAAUCGCUAGUAAUCGCGGAUCAGCAUGCCGCGGUGAAUACGUUCCCGGGCCUU
rnacentral:rRNA from 1 species